UGCAGUUGAGCGCUGAAGGUUGGUACUUGUACCAACUGGAUGAGCAGCGAACGGGUGAGUAACGCGUGGGGAAUCUGCCUUUGAGCGGGGGACAACAUUUGGAAACGAAUGCUAAUACCGCAUAAAAACUUUAAACACAAGUUUUAAGUUUGAAAGAUGCAAUUGCAUCACUCAAAGAUGAUCCCGCGUUGUAUUAGCUAGUUGGUGAGGUAAAGGCUCACCAAGGCGAUGAUACAUAGCCGACCUGAGAGGGUGAUCGGCCACAUUGGGACUGAGACACGGCCCAAACUCCUACGGGAGGCAGCAGUAGGGAAUCUUCGGCAAUGGACGAAAGUCUGACCGAGCAACGCCGCGUGAGUGAAGAAGGUUUUCGGAUCGUAAAACUCUGUUGGUAGAGAAGAACGUUGGUGAGAGUGGAAAGCUCAUCAAGUGACGGUAACUACCCAGAAAGGGACGGCUAACUACGUGCCAGCAGCCGCGGUAAUACGUAGGUCCCGAGCGUUGUCCGGAUUUAUUGGGCGUAAAGCGAGCGCAGGUGGUUUAUUAAGUCUGGUGUAAAAGGCAGUGGCUCAACCAUUGUAUGCAUUGGAAACUGGUAGACUUGAGUGCAGGAGAGGAGAGUGGAAUUCCAUGUGUAGCGGUGAAAUGCGUAGAUAUAUGGAGGAACACCGGUGGCGAAAGCGGCUCUCUGGCCUGUAACUGACACUGAGGCUCGAAAGCGUGGGGAGCAAACAGGAUUAGAUACCCUGGUAGUCCACGCCGUAAACGAUGAGUGCUAGAUGUAGGGAGCUAUAAGUUCUCUGUAUCGCAGCUAACGCAAUAAGCACUCCGCCUGGGGAGUACGACCGCAAGGUUG
rnacentral:rRNA from 1 species